rnacentral:snoRNA from 1 species
UUAGAAUGAUGAUAAAAAUUAAUUUCAGUUCUGCUUCUGAACCAAAAACAACCUGAAGAUAACCCAUUUACCAAAAGCUUACUUAUCUGAUAA